AGCACAACCUUCAUUGUUUACUGGUUAGCAAAAAUGGCUAAUUUCUCAAAAAAAAUUUGUCCUGUAGACUUCCCGUUUUUGCAGCGUUCAUCCUUCAUCCAUUCAAAAUACAUAAGUAUGUCAAAUGGCACAUGUCGGUUUCAGCAUGAUCGAAGCCAUACACGCACACACACAGAUGCACAGAGGCCACUUGGCUAUUAUAAUAUAGAUUAACAACCUAAAGAUCUGCAGAUUUUGUGUGUGAGAGAGAGAGAUAAUGUGAGUCUGUGUUGAAACGUGUGUACUUGAAGCUACAUCUGCAUUCAUAUUCAUUUCAAUUCAAUAAUGACAAAAACCAUCACAAAAAUAUUGGUCUUAAUGUUGAUUAUUUGAGCACAAACAUCAUAAUGUAUCAUUUUAUAAAGUAAGAUGAUGAUAAUAGUGAGAACAAUGAUGCGUCUCAUGUAACUGCUCCCCAGAUAUGAAAAUAAAAACAAAAAUAAUGAACACAUAUUAAACAA